AGUGAACGCUGGCGGUAGGCCUAACACAUGCAAGUCGAACGGCAGCACAGUAAGAUCUUGCUCUUACGGGUGGCGAGUGGCGGACGGGUGAGGAAUACAUCGUAAUCUACUUUUUCGGGGGGGAUAACGUAGGGAAACUUACUCUAAUACCGCAUACGACCUACGGGUGAAAGCAUGGGAUCUUCGGACCUUGCGCGGUUGAAUUAGCCGAUUUCGGAUUAGCUAGUUGGCGGGGUAAAGGCCCACCAAGGGGACGAUCCGUAGCUGGUCUGAGAGGAUGGUGGGCGACCAUGGAACUGAGCAACGGUCCAGACUCCUAGGGGAGGCAGAAGUGGGGAAUAUUGGCAAAUGGGGGAAAGCUUGAUCAAGCCAUACCGGGUGGGUGAAGAAGGCCUUCGGGUUGGAAAGCCCUUUUGUUGGGAAAGAAAAGCAGCAGGUUAAUAACCCGCUGUUCUGACGGUACCAAAAGAAUAAGCACCGGCUAAUUUGGU
rnacentral:rRNA from 1 species